rnacentral:rRNA from 1 species
GUUCAGCACUAAGUCACUUUGUCUUUAUGGCAAAUGUGAGAUGCAGUGUAUGGAAUGUCAAAUUUCUAGUAUGAGAAAUUAACGAUUUAAGUCCUUCUUAAAUGAGGCCAUUUACCCAUAGAGGGUGCCAGGCCCGUAUAACGUUAAUGAUUACUAGAUGGCAUUUCCAAAGAGUCGUGUUGCUUGAUAGUGCAGCACUAAGUGGGUGGUAAACUCCAUCUAAAACUAAAUAUAACCAUGAGACCGAUAGUAAACAAGUACCGUGAGGGAAAGUUGAAAAGAACUCUGAAUAGAGAGUUAAAUAGUACGUGAAACUGCUUAGAGGUUAAGCCCGAUGAACCUGAAUAUCCAUUAUAGAAAAUUCAUCAUUAUGAUUUUAAUAUUUAUAAUAUUAUAAUAAUGGUGUGCAUUUUUUCUAUAAAGGACAUUGUAAUCUAUUAAUAUGUGGCAAAUUUAUCAUAAGAUCAAUGAUGCGUAAGUUUAUUCAAAUUAUUUUGCUUGCAAUUUAACAUAGAAUAAAUGCUCUUGAUUUGAUAAAGUGUUGAUAGAUUUAUUGUAUAUAGUGCUUAAAUAUGUAUAUUUUAUAAUAGCAUAUUAAUCAUUGAUUUUUAUGUUUAUUAUAUGCACUUAUAUGAUUAACAAUGCGAAAGAUUCAGGAUACCUUCGGGACCCGUCUUGAAACACGGACCAAGGAGUCUAACAUAUUUGCAAGUUAUUGGGUAUCAAAACCUAAUAGCGAAAUUAACAUAACUUAAUGGGAUUAGUUUUUAGAUUAUUUAUAGUCUAUUAAUUCAAUCCCGGGGCGUUCUAUAUAGUUAUGUAUAAUAAUAUUUAUAUUAUUUAUACCUCUAACUAGAGCGUACCUUGAGCAUAUAUGCUGUGACCCGAAAGAUGGUGAACUAUACUUGAUCAGGUUGAAGUCAGGGGAAACCCUGAUGGAAGACCGAAACAGUUCUGACGUGCAAAUCGAUUGUCAGAAUUGAGUAUAGGGGCGAAAGACCAAUCGA